rnacentral:lncRNA from 1 species
AAAGCUCUAGUUAAACAAAUUACAGUGUUUUCAUACUAGGCCAGUCAUUAAGUAUUUUAAGUUAAUGACCUAUAGUAGGAUGUUGAACAGGACAUAUUUUUUUUUGCUGUUGUUCCAGAACUGGCUGGAGUUAGAGGUGAUAAGUCAUCCAUAUUCUAAAGGUCACCACCUAUAGCACCUGGGGCUGAUGUGGUGGGCUCAGCUACCCAGCUAGCUGCUCAUCAUUCCCUCUGAUCCAUGUAUAUAUAUAUGCAGACCACUGUGAAAAUCAAAAGUUCAAAGAGAAUUCUGAGUCCUGAGAUGUCAGCCUUGUGAGGAAUACAGGAGCUUCCCAUUCUGUCCUCACAGGGGACUAUCCCUAAAGAGAAAUAAGAAAAAGGAAGCAGGCAGAGGUACAGACAAGAAGGGGAUCCUCACAUUUUCUUCUCUGCUCAAUACCUGCUUGUUUAGUAGAACUAUUUAUGCCCUCUGCAUCUAAUUUGAGCAGGAGAGAGGGGGAGAGAGAGAGGCAGCCAGAGAGAUAGAGACAGAGACACAGAAACAGAGAGCUAGGCAAAGAGGCCACAGCAUACAGGAGUCUGCCCACGUACUCUGGGGAAUAGAUAAGUGGGUUUCCUGUAGUGAAAUAAUAAUUGGAAUAUGGCUGGACUCAGGACACCCUGCUGGGUACCCUACCCAGGGGCUUGGCCACAAGGGAAAAGAUCCCCAGAACCAAGGGUGUAAACUGUUAAGUGUAGGAACUGAGAGAGGGUUGAACUCCUGCAUAUUUACCAUGCCAAAGACCUGUGCCCUGGGAAAGACUUCCUCUGAGGUCCUGAAGAAGCCUUGUGUGUGCCCUAUGAACAUGGUAGCCUUUUAAAUUCAUCACCGUCAGGACACCUCAAUUAGUCAUGUAUUUAUUUGCUUCAAUGGCCAAAACAGAGUACCUCAGACUGGCUUGCUUUAAAAGCAGAGGUUUAUUUUCUCAUACUUCUGGAGGGAAAAAGUCCAAAAUAAAGGGUUGGUUUCCUCUGGGGCCUCUCUGCUUGGUUUUACAUGGUCAUUGCCCUGCAGGCACAGCCCUGGUGUCUUUUUAUGUGCCUAAAUUUCUUCUUGGUCUUAUCUCUAACUUAAUCACCCUUUUAAAGGCCAUUUGCACUGUUCCUAAUAUGACAGUUUGUCAGCCCAAAAUGGGAGGGGGAAAUUGUUUUCUCCACUCUAGGGCUUCAAGAAUAAAUGAACCUUUCAUUAGCUGAGAAUUUGUAGGUGUGUACCUACUGGGAUUUUAAAGGGCACACAUUCUAUGACCAAAUAUGGCCUUGGCAUACAGACAACCUUGCAGGAGCCCUGGGUGUUACAACUUGAGUCUAAUGACGAAUGUCAUCUUACCUUGUUCUUACCAUGACAUAAGCUUUGUGCACAGCUUGGAUAGUUCUUCAGUUGGGCCUGUGGGGCACAACCUCAGUCUUCCUUCUGUUGGCUAGUAGCAUUCUGGUUGCAUCUAGAAAGAGAUAAAUUGCAAUCUGAAAAAUCACAGUCACCAAGUAACAAA